UACGUAGGGUGCAAGCGUUAAUCGGAAUUACUGGGCGUAAAGCGUGCGCAGGCGGUUAUGCAAGACAGAUGUGAAAUCCCCGGGCUCAACCUGGGAACUGCAUUGUGACUGCAUAGCUAGAGUGCGGCAGAGGGAGAUGGAAUUCCGCGUGUAGCAGUGAAAUGCGUAGAUAUGCGGAGGAACACCGAUGGCGAAGGCAAUCUCCUGGGCCUGCACUGACGCUCAUGGCACGAAAGCGUGGGGAGCAAACAGG
rnacentral:rRNA from 1 species